CAAGGAUACAUCUUCAAGAAAAGUGUAAUGGCUAGCUUCAGAAACGCCAUUGUCAGAUGAAGUCAACCUCUCCAGUGGUGGAAAUGCAGCCAAGCUUUAAGAUUCAAUGAUGACUGCUCCAACAUAAGACACUCUAUCGUCAGAUGAAGUCUACCUCUUCAGAAGUAGAUGCAUGAUUGGAAUGCAGCCCAGCUUCAAGAUUCAAUGAUGAUGUCUUUUCCAUCAACAGGCUAGAUGCAGACCCACCAUUGUCCGAUGAAGUGAACCUCUUCAGAAGUAGAUGCAUGAUGGGAAUACAGCCAAGUUUCAAGAUUCAAUUAUGUCUUCUAAUAGCAGCUGCAGACACACCAUUGUCAGAUGAAGUCAACUUCUCAAGAAGUAGGAGCACGAUGGGAACGCAGCCCAGCUUAGGAUUCAAUCAUGUCUUUCGCAACAGAAGUGAGGGUUGUCGUUUCCAGAGAGGUCUCUGCAUCAACCAAGUAGAUGUCUGAGACCUGCAGUUGAUGAGCUUCCUGACAAUGUACAACAAGUCUGGGAAAUGAACUGCUCUCUCCUUGAUACAAGGUGUGCCAUCUGCAGAUGAUAUCUACCUGUCGAUUCCCAAGACCUGCAACAGUGCCCACUAAGUUUCAAACAACGGGACAGAGGUAUACAAAUCCCCGUCGGUGUUUUACACUAACAUCAAAAGUGGUCUGUUUUUGCAGCACUUAUACAAACAGAAUACCUCACAUGCCACAACAUUGAUGGGGAUUUUAUGCUGACACCAGUCUAACCCAUUUUGCGUGGUUCGUCCCUACAGAUUGAUUACAGAUUUAAAAGAUAGGAAACAUG